GGUCUUGGUACCGCGGUAGAUUCGGAUAAAGGCCAGCUCGCCAGGUCGCUCCAUGCUGUUCCCUCGACUUUUCCUCACUGCCAAGUACAUGGAAUACUCCGUGACCUUCCCGGACGGAGAGGUGGGAGGCUCCCAGAUGGGGCUCCAGGAAAUCCAGGCUGGCAGGUUUUAAACUCGCUGAUGGGACUGAAGUCACCCAGGCCACGGCUGUUCAGUCCGGCCACCCUGAAUUUAUAUGUGACUCCUGAGGCCAACUCCUGCUUCUCACGAUCCUUAAAACAAUGAGGACCCGGCAACUUCCACUGUCGGACAGAAGCUGUGACGUAAAACACACUGACACAACUGGAAACUGUUACAAUUAGGUGUAGUAGUACCAAACCAGAACCACAGACAAACCUCACUGUCAGAUGAGUUUUGACAAGACAGGGUCGAUGCCAUGUCACCGUCCUCAGAAGGCAGGAAGUAGUGUGUAGCCUCGCAAUACAGUGUUUUAAACACACCCACAUCAAACCACACAAAGUCCUUGGACUGUAAGGGCACAGGGCGUAAAUGUGUCAGUGUGUUUUAGCUGCUUUAUACUUAUAUACGCUUUAGUACAGAAACGCACUGUAACACUCGACUCUACCUUUCGGAAUGGUAUUGGAGAGAUGUCCCGUUCUGUGAAUGAGAACAUAAACAGUAAGAGUGAAAAACCACAGUAAAAUCUUACCAAAACAGAUCCAUUGUUCACAGUAAGUGUGUGCUUAUACCUUUCUGGCAUGCACUAUUCAGCUUACCAACUUUAUUCACAUUUGAUGGCAUCACGGAAACACCUACUCUACUUGAUCUUUGAUUAUGCACAUUAAAAAUACAUCAUCAGGUAUGUAUAUGUAUGAGACUAAAUCAUUGUCCAACAUAGAAAGUUCAAAAGUGAGAAUGCAAGAGUGGAAAUAAACAUGUAUAUUAAACUAGACAUCACAAGUAGUGUUCGCUUUUCUACCAUUGUCACCUUUUGCUGGGACAUCUGCCCCGUCCUCACCUGGUGCUUUUGGCCUCAAAAUGCUUUCCUGAAAUGAGAAAGGCUCUGUGAGAUUAAUAAAAAUAUAUAUAUAUAAAAAUGAAUUUAUAAAUUCCACUAAAAUGCAGAAAUCUGACCUGCAAUGAAGAUUCUCUCUCUCCUCUAACUUUGACAUCUGCACUUGCCUGGGAGUCUAGACAGAAAAUUAAUAUAAAUAAAAUAGCAUUUAUUUAAAUUAUAAAUAACAUACACAGGGUUCUUCUUUUCCAAGAAUAAAUUCAAGCAACAACAACAUUGUUCAAAACACCAGGGAAUACCAAAUGUUUAAGUUGUAAUACCGAUUUGUACAGAUUCCUUUCUGUCUCCAGUGUCUGGUGGAGGAGUUGGUGUGGUCUGCGGUUCAAAGGAAGUGGACUGAGGAGAUUUGAUUGGCUGCAGUUGAAGCAGAUAACUUUCAGCUGCAGGUACCACAGAUCUUUGCAGCACACCUGGUAGUUAUUGUACUUUUUGUAUCCAUCUCGCCCACUCCAUACAUAAAGUCGAGUUCCGACGGUUACUGCGCAGUGUCCGGCUCGUGCUUUCGGCCAGUGUGCAUUACCCUCUUCCUGUUCGACUAACUGUUCACCUGAAGCCGAUCGCUGCUGGUGUUCUUCCGGUGUCAAGUCAUGCCAUGUCAUUGUGUCUACAGUUUAGCAUGGAAAGAGAGCUGGUGCAGACCCACUUGACUCCAUCUGCGGCAAGUGCGUCCUCUGCCUCUCCAACGGGAACCCAGCCUCCAAACACAUAUAACCUACAACAAGAAGAUGAGAAAUUUUUGAAAAAAUUAGACAGUGUGAGGAAUGUUCCAGCCUUUAACGCCAGACUGGACCUGCAGCUCCAGCUCAUAGAAGUCAUCUAAAUAUCUGCGUAAAAACACAAACGUGCAUCAUCCAUGUAUCACCUGAACUGCAGUAAGUGCUCACCUGCAGUUCAUAGAGGCUGUUGGUAUACUGGCCAAAUUCAACCAUCCCACCAAACACCAGGAUCCGUGUGCCUUCACAAACGAACCCAUGAGCGGCACAGCCAGGGGCAUGUGAGGAUAAGGUAACAGCUGCAAUCCCAAUUACACCAGUAUGCUGACAAUCUACCCGGAUGACCCGCUCUGCGCUUUCUACUCCGGACCCAGAGCCCAGCCCACCAUCUCCUCGAUGUGCUGAUCGAACGCCAGAGCCCGCCGCAACCAACGAGCCAUCGCCACAUAGAGCGACAGAGCUCCUCCAGUUCCUCCGGCUCCGCCUUGGUCUGGUGUCGACCAUCCUGCGCCUUGGGACUCCACUCCUCUGGCUUCACC